GCCAGGUGUGGUGGGGCACACCUGUAAGCCCAGCCACUCAGGAGGCUGAGGCAGGAGGACGGCAAGCUCAAGGCCAGCCUUGGCAACAUAGCAAGGCCCUAAGCAACUUAGUGAGACCCUGUCUCAA
rnacentral:sRNA from 1 species